rnacentral:tRNA from 1 species
GGGUCCAUAGCUCAGUGGCAGAGCAUUUGACUGCAGAUCAAGAAUGUUUUAUGACUUUCAAUGUUGUAGAUUUUGUUGGGCCCU